ensembl:snoRNA
AUCCCUUUGUGGUUCAUAAGCGUGAUAAUUGGGUUUUCACACUAAUACGUGAGAUGUGCAUUGUUAGAACAGUUUGAGGGAGGCACAUCUCACACAAAGUUCGUUGGCACAUUACCCAUCUGACG